rnacentral:misc_RNA from 1 species
AAUUGCGAGAUUUUCUUUUUUUUUUCUUUCUUUCUUUAUAUAUAAUGUUUUAUUUUCUCUUUAAGAAUUUUUGGAAGUGUUUGAAGUUCUUGUUCAGAGUGUUUUUGAUAAUUUUUUGAAAGGUGCAUAUCCCUGGAGAUCAGCUGGUGACUUUGUCCUUGUCUUCUUAACUUUGGGUAGUUGAAGGUUGUUAAGUAGAAAAUAAUAGAAAAGAAAGGAACCCAAUUUCAAGAGGCUGAGAUAAAUUGCCUCUGAUUCAGGAAACCUGGUUUUCUUAUGUUUUCCAGGCUUUUCUAUUUUGUUUUAAGUUUUUUUUUCAUGUCUCUGUUUCGUUUACUUUGCUUGUUUCACUAAUUCUCAUAUUUUCUCAAUUCAUCUAUCCGUCUUUCUAUGACCAAAAGGAUCAAAAGUUUGCUUGGGAGGUAGAAAAAGGAAGAAUUUGGGUGUUCUCUCUCUCUCUCUCUCUC